UACGUAGGGGGCAAGCGUUGUCCGGAAUUAUUGGGCGUAAAGAGCGCGUAGGCGGUCCGAUAAGUCGGCUGUGAAAGUCAGGGGCUCAACCCUUGAAAGCCGGCCGAUACUGUCGGACUAGAGUCCGGAAGAGGCAAGUGGAAUUCCCGGUGUAGCGGUGAAAUGCGCAGAUAUCGGGAGGAACACCAAUGGCGAAGGCAGCUUGCUGGGACGGUACUGACGCUGAGGCGCGAAAGCGGUGGGGAGCAAACAGGG
rnacentral:rRNA from 1 species